ACGGCCAUAUCACUUUGAAAACAUUGGUUCUCGUUCGAUCAUAGAAGUUAAGCAAUGUCGGUCAGUACUUGGGAGGGUGACCACCUGGGUGUGCUGUAAGCU